AUUGAACGCUGGCGGCAGGCCUAACACAUGCAAGUCGAGCGGAGCGGCGGACGGGUGCGUAAUGCCUAGGGAUCUGCCUGGUAGUGGGGGAUAACGUCCGGACACGGGCGCUAAUACCGCAUACUAUCAGAUUAGCCUAGGUCGGCUUGGCUAGUUGGUGGGGUAAAGGCCUAACUAGGCGACGCUCCCUAGCUGGUCUGAGAGGAUAACCAGCCACACUGGAAAGUGGACACGGUAAAGACUCCUAAGGGAGGCAGCAGGGAGGAAUCUUGCACAAUGGGCGAUAGCCGGAUGCAGUCAUGACGCAUGUAUGAAGAAGGAUUUCGGGUUGUAGAGUACUUUCAGCGGGGAGGCGUUACCCGCAGAAGAAGCACCGGCUAACUCCGUGCCAGCCGCCGCGGUAAUAC
rnacentral:rRNA from 1 species